CCUCUGGCACCGCCUCUGGCACCGCCGGGCGCGGCUGCAGCCGCACGUGCCGCGGCCUCCGCCCGGGCACUGGAAAGCGGCCGGGACCCCCAGGGAAGUGCCGAAGCGGCCUGUGCCAAGCGCUCUGCUGAGCGCGGCUGGCGCUGAAGGGGUAAGCGGGAGGCAGUAGAGGGUGCUGUGAUUGCACACACAGAAAUGAAACUGCCUGAAGAACAAGGAAACAAAUACCCAAGAAGCAGGUCAUCACAACAUGGCCAUGGUUUACCAAAAUCUAUCAGGUUAUUGAGGUAACUCCAUUAUGUUGGAGUCGAAGGGAGUGUAGGGAUCCAACACUACCUUUCCCUUACUGUGGAUGGUAUUGUCCUCCUGAUGUUUUUGCACUUGUGUUACUUGCAGUUGAGGAGGAAAGACUUCAGCAAAAUAAAUUCCAUUGUUUCUCAUAGCAUUAAAAAUCUCAUAAAAAACUACGGAAUGUAUGUCAAGUCUUCUGAAAACGGGCCUUCUAAGGGGACACUGUCAGUGCUGUGGUUGGAAGUACUGAUACACCAAAGCCUUGUAGAAUUGUAGAAAGUGAUGGUCCCUGCCCCUACCAGCUUACAGUCAGUUGCCACAACAAGUGAAGAUGGGUGGAUUCUUGGAGUCAUUGCUUACACGUACUUCCUCUAACCCUGCCUCACUGCAGGAGCAGUCAUGACAAACUCACUGCAAGAGGUUAUUUUGUCAGGAAUCAGAGUAGGGUCGUGUUUUCAAGAAAGCUCUGAACAUAGACAAUGUAAGAGCGUUGCAGAUUUUUACAGGCAACUUGUGAAAGAAGAGCAGAAAUGGAAAAACUAAAACAAUUGCAACAUACUCCCUCUUGGAAACUACCAUGGUCACAGACACUGGAAGGCAGAAGUACAUUUCCACUCAUGCUUGCCAAAAGAGACGAUGGGUGGUCUCAUAGCUGAAACACAGGGACUACAACUCUCACCUGAAUUCUGACUCGAAUUCACCAUGAGUUGCCAUUAACUGGUCUCCUAACUUCCCUGUGCCACAACUCUUCUUUCAUAAAGGUGGGGAAACAUAUGUAGUUAUUAUCUAAAUCUUUUACAUAACAAAAAGCAUCAGUGCCUGUGGGAUGAGCACCACAGAGGGUUUUUUUCCCUUUUGCACAAAACUCUCACCUCUCUAUUAGGUGCUACUUCAUUUGCCAAAGUGUCCCUUCAGGACAUCAUGGCUGUAGUUGUGCCCGCCUUGAUGUAGCUGGGGUGUCAGUAGCAGCGUAGCUACUGCAUCAGAGACUGUACAAGGAUGCAUGGCAUUUACCUAUCCAGGUAGAUUCCUUGCAGGAACCCAUGACACCAAAUGUCUGCUUCUGUUUUAUGCUGGAAGAAGGGACAAAGGGGAAACCACUGUGAAGAACUCCAGAGAGUUGCAUAAAGUUUACAUUUUUCAAAUCUGUUGUUUUAUCAGCAAUUUUUUUGAAAAUGUAUUUGUCUCACUGCUAAUAAAAGAAGUGGCUCCACUGAA